AUGUUAUGUUAAAGUCAUCUCCCAAUUAGAUUAUUUAGAACAUUUGGGAGCCAAACUUUUCUUUUUGCUAGAAAUGCUUUGUACGCCAUCAUCUCCAUUUCGAGAGUUAUACCUUUAC